rnacentral:tRNA from 1 species
GGAGGGGUGGCAGAGCGGUUGAAUGCACCGGUCUUGAAAACCGGCGUGGGUUCGCGCCCACCGAGAGUUCGAAUCUCUCCUCCUCCGCCA